CUGAGGGGGGUUGCAACAAUCGCUGGGCUUUCCUACGCUUGUCCGACAUUUACAAUAAGACAAUCGAGAAGGAAAUGCUUCAAGACUUGAGAGAUAGAUGGGAGCUUCUUGCCGAGUUUGAUGGCCAUCAAAUAGACGACACCCUAAUAGCACAUUUGACAAAACAUCACUGUAGCAGCGAGAUACCAGGAGGAGACAACGAAACUGAGGAAUCUGGUGAUUGCAAUAACCGUUGGGCCAUCCUCCGUUUUCCUGACUUUUUCGAGAACGUAGUAACAUCAGAAAUGAUCGAGGACUUGAGAGGACGCUGGGAGUUACUAGCUGAGUUUACAGGGCAUACAAUUGAUAAUGCUCUAAUAGCUCACCUGAAAAAACAUCACUGCAAAACUGUGGAAUAAUUGACA